GUUUGUUCUCUUCUCUCCUAAAACCAGUGGUUUGGGUGUUAUUGCUCUGAGAUCGAAGCAUUUGUAUUGUUGUGGCAGUUGAUAGGGUUUUGGUGUAGAAGAGCCAUGGAGCGCAUCAUCGGCGCCAAGUACAAGCUAGGUCGCAAGAUCGGAAGUGGAUCCUUCGGUGAAAUCUACCUCGCCACGCAUAUCGAUACCUUCGAGAUCGUCGCCGUCAAGAUCGAGAACGGUAAAACGAAGCAUCCGCAAUUGCUUUAUGAAGCCAAGCUUUACAAUAUUCUUCAAGGAGGAAGUGGCAUUCCGAGCAUAAAAUGGUGUGGUGUAGAUGGGGAGGAUAAUGUGCUUGUUAUGGAUUUGCUGGGGCCUAGUCUUGAGGAUCUUUUUGUAUACUGUGGAAGAAAGUUCUCCCUCAAAACCGUAUUGAUGUUGGCUGAUCAAAUGAUGACAAGAAUAGAAUAUGUGCAUUCUAAAGGAUUCCUACAUAGGGAUAUAAAACCUGAUAACUUUCUCAUGGGACUUGGUCGGAAGGCAAACCAGGUUUACAUAAUUGAUUUUGGGCUUGCAAAACGAUAUCGGGACUCCACAACCAAUCGCCACAUCCCUUACAGGGAGAAUAAAAACUUAACAGGAACUGCACGUUAUGCUAGCUGUAACACUCAUCUUGGGAUUGAGCAAAGUCGUCGGGAUGAUUUGGAGUCACUAGGGUAUGUGCUUCUGUACUUCCUCAGAGGAAGCCUUCCUUGGCAAAACCUAAAGGCUGCAACAAAGAAGCAGAAGUAUGAUAAAAUAUGUGAGAAGAAAGUAUCAACUCCUAUUGAGGUGUUAUGCAAAUCUCACCCUGUAGAGUUUGCUUCGUACUUUCAUUACUGCCACUCGCUAACCUUUGAUCAGCGACCUGAUUAUGGAUUCUUGAAGCGCCUAUUUCGGGACCUAUUUUCUCGGAAAGGUUAUGAAUUCGAUUAUGUAUUUGACUGGACUAUUUUAAAGUACCAACAGGCACAAAAGAACAGAGUUCAGCCUCACAUAUCUCCGGUCCCUGGAGCAAGCAAUAGUCGUGCAAUGCCCAUGGAUGUUGACCACCAUCAUGGGGAUGUCUCAGCAGAGCGCAUUAAAUCGAGUAAUGCUACUGGUUCUGGUGUUAAAAUUCAGUUUAAAUCACCAGUGGGUAAAAAUUUGGGUUCUGAAAAUCCUCUUGACAAGAAUAUUUUUAGUGAAGCAAAUAUACCCUCUGCCUCGUACACUUUAACUGGUGCCUCAAAAAGAAACUCCUUGAAACCUGCCUUGUCCACUGAAGCUGCCAACCAUGGACAUGGGCAAGGAAGUAGUAAAAUCGGCCCUUCAAGUAGUUGGAUUUCAUCUCUGCAGCGCAUAUCUUCUGCCAAAUGAACGCUCAAUAUGCUUUGAAUCUGAUCAAAGAAGAUGUCCUUGUUUACAUACAUACAUGAAGCUGCAAAUUCAUGGGUAUUGCUUGCAUCAACAUUUAUAUUUUUGGUCCAGAAUUUUCAAGUGAUACAUGGAGACUGCAAAUGUGCUGCAAGGUUGAUAAAUUUCAUAGCUCAACUUUUGAGGCCAUCUUGUGUUGCUUUUUUCCUAAGGUAGCUCAAAUUUGAUGGUCAGCCAGAUUAACUUGUAGUGUCAUUCUUGGAAUGAAUGAAAACAAUCUGGUUUUAUUUCCAAUGUAGUUCAAGGAUUUCUUUUUUCGACCUAUAUUGUUUGAAGGAUGAAAUAUGACUGACAAUUGGUAUUUAUAAGAAUGUCAUUAUCAACUGGAACAUACCUCUUCAUACAGAUUGGAUUGCUAUGGCACUUUGGAAGUACUUCAGCUUUGUGACAAACUUGACAUGAGAAUUGCUUUUGACAUGGUUGUUGGUUAGCAAAGAUCUCCGAAGAUCUAUCUAUGAUUUGUAUGAUUCUAACCAACAUUUCUGUAGAGUAGAUAAUUUAUUUUUCAGUUGAUGGACAUGACUUGCGUUUGCCGCUGAUUAUGGGUAGGUCUUUAAAAGGAAAGAAAAUAUAUGAAAAAAAAGAUCUGAAUGAAGACUAACUUCCAUAUUUGGUGCCUUGUUUGGCAAGGUUACCAAUUAAUUUCAUGGUUCUUGCUUCAGAUGAGCAUUGGUUUUUUCAACUGAUAUGUAUAUCAUGUUUUACAUUUUUGUCUGGCUACAGAUAAUGUCAGAUGGACUGCAUGUAGUGAACAGAAGCAACGCAAACAAUCUUUAGAGGUAUUUUGUGAGCUAGCAUUUUCGCAGUACCAUAGUAGAUACCUAGAGACAAGUAUUCCAAAUUCAAUAUCUUAUUUGGUAUGAAUGACAAACAAAAACCAUGUAAAACAUAAACAUGAGGAUUUUGAAUUCCCAUCUAUGGUACAAUGUUGGUGUUUCCAAUCCUUAUCCAAGGAAUGAAGUAAAUGGGAAAUUUUGCUUGAAAACAAGAAAACCGCAUCAAUGA